ACGAUGACGGUGGUGCUUGCACCGCCUGAUUAGUGGCGAACGGGUGAGCAACACGUGAGUAACCUGCCCUCCACUUCGGGAUAACCUCGGGAAAUCGUGGCUAAUACCGGAUAUGAGCACUCAUCGCAUGGUGGGUGUUGGAAAGAUUUAUCGGUGGGGGAUGGACUCGCGGCCUAUCAGUUUGUUGGUGAGGUGAUGGCUCACCAAGACGAUGACGGGUAGCCGGCCUGAGAGGGCGACCGGCCACACUGGGACUGAGACACGGCCCAGACUCCUACGGGAGGCAGCAGUGGGGAAUAUUGCACAAUGGGCGAAAGCCUGAUGCAGCGACGCCGCGUGGGGGAUGACGGCCUUCGGGUUGUAAACCCCUUUCAGUAGGGAAGAAGCGAGAGUGACGGUACCUGCAGAAGAAGCGCCGGCUAACUACGUGCCAGCAGCCGCGGUAAUACGUAGGGCGCAAGCGUUGUCCGGAAUUAUUGGGCGUAAAGAGCUUGUAGGUGGCUUGUCGCGUCUGCCGUGAAAACCCGAGG
rnacentral:rRNA from 1 species